rnacentral:rRNA from 1 species
UACGGAGGGAGCUAGCGUUAUUCGGAAUUACUGGGCGUAAAGCGCGCGUAGGCGGUUUUUUAAGUCAGAGGUGAAAGCCCAGUGCUCAACACUGGAACUGCCUUUGAAACUGGAAAACUUGAAUCUUGGAGAGGUCAGUGGAAUUCCGAGUGUAGAGGUGAAAUUCGUAGAUAUUCGGAAGAACACCAGUGGCGAAGGCGACUGACUGGACAAGUAUUGACGCUGAGGUGCGAAAGCGUGGGGAGCAAACAGG